rnacentral:rRNA from 1 species
UCAGAUUGAACGCUGGCGGCAUGCCUUACACAUGCAAGUCGAACGGCAGCACGGGGGCAACCCUGGUGGCGAGUGGCGAACGGGUGAGUAAUACAUCGGAACGUGUCCAGUAGUGGGGGAUAGCCCGGCGAAAGCCGGAUUAAUACCGCAUACGACCUACGGGUGAAAGCGGGGGAUCGCAAGACCUCGCGCUAUUGGAGCGGCCGAUGUCAGAUUAGGUUGUUGGUGGGGUAAAGGCCUACCAAGCCGACGAUCUGUAGCUGGUCUGAGAGGACGACCAGCCACACUGGGACUGAGACACGGCCCAGACUCCUACGGGAGGCAGCAGUGGGGAAUUUUGGACAAUGGGCGCAAGCCUGAUCCAGCCAUGCCGCGUGCGGGAAGAAGGCCUUCGGGUUGUAAACCGCUUUUGUCAGGGAAGAAACGCGCUGAGCUAAUACCUCGGCGUAAUGACGGUACCUGAAGAAUAAGCACCGGCUAACUACGUGCCAGCAGCCGCGGUAAUACGUAGGGUGCAAGCGUUAAUCGGAAUUACUGGGCGUAAAGCGUACGCAGGCGGUUAUGCAAGACAGAUGUGAAAUCCCCGGGCUCAACCUGGGAACUGCAUUUGUGACUGCAUAGCUGGAGUG